rnacentral:rRNA from 1 species
CUGCGGAAGGAUCAUUGUCGAGACCGAAUUAUUAUCGAGCGAUUCAGAGAACCGGUGCAAAUAAGCGACGGCAGUUGCUGUGCGCAAUGGCCAUCCCAGUCGUUGCCUCGAGAUCCCCUUUGGGGGAGGGGGCAUGAUGAAGGGCGGCUGAAAAUCCAGACCGGCGCAGCUUCGCGCCAAGGGAUGCUGAAACACGAGCCCGAUAUCGGGUUUGGCGGAGUGGGGUGCGGUUGCACUCCAUGUGGAUGUACACGACUCUCGGCAAUGGAUAUCUCGGCUCUCGCAUCGAUGAAGAGCGCAGCGAAAUGCGAUACGUGGUGCGAAUUGCAGAAUCACGCGAACCAUCGAGUCUUUGAACGCAAGUUGCGCCCGAGGCCAACCGGCCGAGGGCACGUCCGCCUGGGCGUCAAGCGUUGCGUCGCUCCAUGCCAACGCAGGCCCCCCAACGGGUGUGCCGGGUGGAGGCCUGGAUGUGGAGGAUGGCCCGUCGUGCUCCCAUCGGCGCGACGGGUUGAAGAGUGGGUGAUCGUCUCGCUGGCCACGAACAGUAGGGGGUGGAUGAAAGCGAUGCCUAUGUUUUGUAUCGUGCUUGUCAGGGAGCAGAUUAUAAAUUCAAGGUGAUCCAAACCCAUGCGUCGGCCCACGGGCGACGGCUUGGAAUGCGACCCCAGGAUGGGCGAGGCCAC